rnacentral:rRNA from 1 species
CGGAAUUCUACCCCCCUCUACCGUACUCUAGCCUUGCAGUCACAAGCGCAAUUCCCAGGUUGAGCCCGGGGAUUUCACGCCUGUCUUACAAAACCGCCUGCGCACGCUUUACGCCCAGUAAUUCCGAUUAACGCUUGCACCCUACGUAUUACCGCGGCUGCUGGCACGUAGUUAGCCGGUGCUUAUUCUUACGGUACCGUCAUUAGCCCAGAGUAUUAAUCCAGACCGUUUCGUUCCGUACAAAAGCAGUUUACAACCCGAAGGCCUUCUUCCUGCACGCGGUAUUGCUGGAUCAGGCUUUCG